UACGUAGGUGGCGAGCGUUGUCCGGAUUUACUGGGCGUAAAGCGCGCGCAGGCGGGCUGGUCAGUCCGGGGUGAAAUCUCACGGCUCAACCGUGAGCGGUCCCCGGAUACUGCCAGUCUUGAGGUGUCUAGAGGAGAGCGGAAUUCCCCGGUGUAGUGGUGGAAUGCGUAGAGAUCCGGAGGAACACCAGCGGCGAAGGCGGCGUCCUGGACUGGUACUGACGCUCAGGAGCGAAAGCGUGGGGAGCGAACCGG
rnacentral:rRNA from 1 species